UGGCGAGAGGCUUACAUUGUGUUCCAUUUAUCUCGGAACUUGGAAGCCGGAGCUGGUGAAUGACGUCACACCCGAGUUGACCGCGUUCCAUUUAAACAAGUUGAAUUGCACUGUGGGGUUU